UACGUAGGGUGCGAGCGUUAAUCGGAAUUGCUGGGCGUAAAGCGUGCGCAGGCGGUUCGUUGUGUCGGCGGUGAAAUCCCCGGGCUCAACCUGGGAAUGGCCGUUGAAACUGGCGAACUGGAGUGUGGCAGAGGGGGGUGGAAUUCCGCGUGUAGCAGUGAAAUGCGUAGAGAUGCGGAGGAACACCGAUGGCGAAGGCAGCCCCCUGGGCUGACACUGACGCUCAGGCACGAAAGCGUGGGGAGCAAACAGG
rnacentral:rRNA from 1 species